GCCUGGGAUAGCUCAGUUGGUACAUCAUGAGACACUUAUUCUCAGGUUUGUGGGUUCAAGCCCCACUUUGGGCA